rnacentral:rRNA from 1 species
AUUGAACGCCGGCGGCAGGCUUAACACAUGCAAGUCGAGCGGAGAGAGGUAGCUUGCUACUGAUCUUAGCGGCGGACGGGUGAGUAAUGCUUAGGAAUCUGCCUAUUAGUGGGGGACAACAUUUCGAAAGGAAUGCUAAUACCGCAUACGUCCUACGGGAGAAAGCAGGGGAUCUUCGGACCUUGCGCUAAUAGAUGAGCCUAAGUCGGAUUAGCUAGUUGGUGGGGUAAAGGCCUACCAAGGCGACGAUCUGUAGCGGGUCUGAGAGGAUGAUCCGCCACACUGGGACUGGGACACGGCCCAGACUCCUACGGGAGGCAGCAGUGGGGAAUAUUGGACAAUGGGCGGAAGCCUGAUCCAGCCAUGCCGCGUGUGUGAAGAAGGCCUUAUGGUUGUAAAGCACUUUAAGCGAGGAGGAGGCUACUUUAGUUAAUACCUAGAGAUAGUGGACGUUACUCGCAGAAUAAGCACCGGCUAACUCUGUGCCAGCAGCCGCGGUAAUAC